rnacentral:rRNA from 1 species
UGGGUUUAAAGGGAGCGUAGGCCGGAGAUUAAGCGUGUUGUGAAAUGUAGACGCUCAACGUCUGCACUGCAGCGCGAACUGGUUUCCUUGAGUACGCACAAAGUGGGCGGAAUUCGUGGUGUAGCGGUGAAAUGCUUAGAUAUCACGAAGAACUCCGAUUGCGAAGGCAGCUCACUGGAGCGCAACUGACGCUGAAGCUCGAAAGUGCGGGUAUCGAACAGGAUUAGAUACCCUGGUAGUCCGCACGGUAAACGAUGGAUGCCCGCUGUUGGUCUGAACAGGUCAGCGGCCAAGCGAAAGCAUUAAGCAUCCCACCUGGGGAGUACGCCGGCAACGGUGAAACUCAAAGGAAUUGACGGGGGCCCGCACAAGCGGAGGAACAUGUGGUUUAAUUCGAUGAUACGCGAGGAACCUUACCCGGGCUUGAAUUGCAGAGGAAGGAUUUGGAGACAAUGACGCCCUUCGGGGCCUCUGUGAAGGUGCUGCAUGGUUGUCGUCAGCUCGUGCCGUGAGGUGUCGGCUUAAGUGCCAUAACGAGCGCAACCCCUCUCCUUAGUUGCCAUCAGGUUAAGCUGGGCACUCUGGGGACACUGCCACCGUAAGGUGUGAGGAAGGUGGGGAUGACGUCAAAUCAGCACGGCCCUUACGUCCGGGGCUACACACGUGUUACAAUGGCAGGUACAGAGAGACGGUUGUACGUAAGUACGAUCAAAUCCUUAAAGCCUGUCUCAGUUCGGACUGGGGUCUGCAACCCGACCCCACGAAGCUGGAUUCGCUAGUAAUCGCGCAUCAGCCAUGGCGCGGUGAUACGUUCCCGGGCCUUGCACUCACCGCCCGUC